rnacentral:lncRNA from 1 species
UGCAUCAUGAACUUGACACUUUCUCUACAGAGGUACAGUGGGUUACAGCAAUCUCGGGGAUAACUGAUAGUGACCCUUCCUAAUUCACAAUACAUUUCAAAGGAGAAAAUCACUGUCAUCAAUGUGCCUCCGUUGUUGAGAUGCACUGACCUGGUCGAUCCAUUGCAUUGUGGCUGAUUCUAUGCGUCUGUGUAUUUACAGCUUCACACAAUAUUUUUAAGACAUAAUUCUGAAUCAUGUAGUGCUGGAUAAUUAACAACAAAAGUAAUAAGAUAAUAGUGAUGCCCUGACUAGUAGUUUACAGCCUAAAAGAACUCAUGGUUAGUCAUUGUGAAAUUAAAGACAGCCAAAUUAAGAUGUUUAACCAAGAGGAGAAUGAGCUGACACAAAAAGGCUUGUUAGUCUCUUUCCUUCUAGCCAGACAUCAGAUUUGUCAAUACUCUUGACUCUACGUGCAAUGUUAGAUUAUGUAACUGACAAGUUUGCAUGGCUGCCUCCCAGAGCAGUGCAGCACUCUGCAUUCUAACACAGAAGCCACAACAUGGUCACAAAAGUCACUUAAGCAAGAGUAAAGAGACUGCAUUUGACAUGAUGAUGCCUAGACUGGACUUCUGAGCCAAAACACCAUCUCCAAAAGCAAAUAAAACAGGAGACUGGUCUUGAUAAUUGAGGACCCAUAUAGACCUUUGGAGCUGGACUGAAGAGUAAGUCACAAGGAUAAAACAAAAGCCGUGAAGGACAGCCAGUCCCAAGUAAAGUGGGGUUCACAGUGAGGCUGUAGGACCCUGGUAAUUCACAUAUUGUCCUAAAGCCUUCUGCAUACGUUCUUGUCAGAAAGCAGUUAGUGAGACAGGAACUAGAGAACCUAGUUAGGAAGAACCUAAACAGUGCCUCGCUCCCACCAAAUCAGUUCUAAACAUAUCUGAAUCUUGGUUAAAAACAAACACUUCAUUGGGCAUGGUGGCUCAUGUCGUCAAUCAUAGCACUCAUUUAAGAGGCAGGGAUAAACAAAUCUCUGUGAGUUCAAAGCCAACUUGCUCUAUAUAGUCAUUUAGCCACUUCCAGACUAGCCAGGGUAAUGCAGUGAGACCCUGCCAC